CUCUGAAUCCAAGAGCUGCAGGGAUGUUUAGGGUUCAUUUUAGCCCAAUCUUUUCACUGUGGAGUUGAGGGCACGGCUCCCUCAGAGGGGACAGGCGGAGGCCCCAGAGGCUAGUUCAUACUUUGUGCCUGGAGAAGGGAGGAUGAACCUCGGCCACUCUGCAGAACCCUGCGGGCAGUAGGAUCUGAAAGACUCAGAGAGCUUGUCCUGAUGUGGACUGGGCUCUGUGCACAACCUUUGCAACCAGAAGCUGAAGGGAAAUCAAACUGCCUUUUCUGGGCUCCCGCAGCACAGUGCAGCUGCCACCUGGCCCAACCAGCUUCCUGGACCAUGGCCAACCUGAGUGCACCUUCAUCACCAUCAAGCCAGACAGUGUGCAGCGUGGCCUGGCUGGCAAGAUCAUCGAGCGCUUUGAGCAGAAGAGAUUCCACCUCAUGGCCAUGAAGUUCCUCUGGGCCUCUGAGAACACCCGAAGCAGCACUACAUUCACUGUAAAGACCGCUCAUUCUUCCCCAGGCUGGCGAAGUACAGGAAAUCAGGGCCUGUCUUGGCCAUGGUCUGGGAGGGGCUGAAUGUGGUGAAGACAGGCCGAGUGACACCUGGGGAGACCAAUCCAAUGGAUUCUAAGCCACACACCAUUUGUGGGAACUUCUGUAUUCAGGUGGGGUGAUGCAUCAUUCAUGGCAGUGGCUCAGUAAUAAGUGCUGAAAAAUAAAUCAGCCAGGCCAGGCA